UGGGGAAUUUUGCACAAUGGGGGAAACCCUGAUGCAGUGACGCCGCGUGAUUUAGAAGGCCUUCGGGUUGUAAAAAUCUUUUCUAUGGGAAGAAAAUGACAGUACCAUAGGAAUAAGGACCGGCUAAUUACGUGCCAGCAGCCGCGGUAAUACGUAAGGUCCGAGCGUUGUCCGGAAUCAUUGGGCGUAAAGGGUACGUAGGCGGGUAAGCAAGUUAGAAGUGAAAUCCUAUAGCUCAACUAUAGUAAGCUUUUAAAACUGCUCAUCUUGAGGUAUGGAAGGGAAAGUGGAAUUCCUAGUGUAGCGGUGAAAUGCGCAGAUAUUAGGAGGAAUACCGGUGGCGAAGGCGACUUUCUGGCCAUAACCUGACGCUGAGGUACGAAAGCGUGGGUAGCAAACAGG
rnacentral:rRNA from 1 species